rnacentral:ncRNA from 1 species
ACAAAAGCUUGGUUCUGACUUUACUAUCAGCUUUAGCCACACUUACACAUGCCAGUAUCCGCACCCCCGUGAAAAUGCCCACAAGCCCCCCCCCCGGGGCUUAGGAGCUGGCAUCAGGCACAACCUUUUAGCCCACGACGCCUCGCCCAGCCACACCCCCAAGGGACUUCAGCAGUGAUAAACAUUGAGCCAUAAGUGAAAACUUGACUCAGUUAAAGCUAUUCAGGGCCGGUCAAAUGCUCGUGCCAGCCACCGCGGUUAAACGAAAGCAGCCCAAGUUGAUAGACAACGGCAUAAAAAGUGGCUAGGGGACAAACGGACAAACUAAAGCCGAACACUCACGCCUUACUGUAUUAACGUACACGAAGAGUAGGAAGACCAAUCACGAAAGUAGCUUUACUCCACCUGCCUCCACGAAAGCUAAGAAACAAACUGGGAUUAGAUACCCCACUAUGCUUAGCCCUAAACAAUGACUGUGCCCCACAACACGUCUGCCCGAGGACUACGAACGUUAGUUUAAAACUCAAAGAACUUGGCGGCGCUUAGACUACCUAGAGGAGCCUGUUAUAUAACCGAUGAACCCCGUUAAACCUCACCCUCUCUUGCCAAACCAGCUUAUAUACCGCCGUCGCAAGCUCACCCUGCAAAGGACAAACAGUGAGCAAAAUUGGCACCGCCCUAAACGUCAGGUCGAGGUGUAGCACAUGAGAGGGGAUCUAAUGGGCUACGCUCACUGUCAACAGUACAUACGAAAGUACCAUUUAAACAUGCAACUGAAGAAGGAUUUAGCAGUAAGAGGGAAAUAGAGUGUCCCCCUGAAAUGAGCUCCUAAGCGCGCACACACCGCCCGUCGCCCUCCCCCAGCCUUAAAUUUAAAAAAAUAACUAAUGCCCCCCACCCACAGGUGAGGGGAGGUAAGUCGUAACAUGGUAAGCGUACCGGAAGGUGCGCUUGGACUAG